rnacentral:rRNA from 1 species
GAUGAACGCUAGCGGCAGGCUUAAUACAUGCAAGUCGUGGGGCAGCAUGGGGGUAGCAAUACUCUGAUGGCGACCGGCAAACGGGUGCGGAACACGUACGCAACCUUCCCAAAACUGGUGAAUAGCCCUCCGAAAGGAGGAUUAAUACACCGUAACAUAACGAAGUGGCAUCACUUUGUUAUUAUAGCUCCGGCGGUUUUGGAUGGGCGUGCGCCUGAUUAGGUAGUUGGCGGGGUAACGGCCCACCAAGCCUACGAUCAGUAACUGGUGUGAGAGCACGACCAGUCACACGGGCACUGAGACACGGGCCCGACUCCUACGGGAGGCAGCAGUAAGGAAUAUUGGUCAAUGGACGCAAGUCUGAACCAGCCAUGCCGCGUGAAGGAUGAAGGUCCUCUGGAUUGUAAACUUCUUUUAUCUGGGACGAAAAAGGGCUUUCUAGCUCACUUGACGGUACCAGAGGAAUAAGCACCGGCUAACUCCGUGCCAGCAGCCGCGGUAAA